GUAACAUCAGUCAGCAUCCUGCUCUGCCGCAGAGCAUUCAGCUGCCUCAGCAGUUCGGAGGAGAAGUCCUGGUCUUUGAAGAGGAACUCCUCAGCAGAUCCCUCCUCCAUAGCAAAGUCGGUCUGAGGAGACACCAAGAGUUUCUUUAGAAGAGUGGGACGUGCUUUGUGCAAUGUGCCCUGUUUCUACAAGGAACCCUCGGGUCUGAUCCAAGGUCCACUGAUGCCAGUGGGAGGAGAAGAGAAGAAAGCAGGAGGUCCAAAAAGCUUGGACCCAGCUUAAUAGUGGGACUUAAGCAGAUAAGUCAGCUUCAUUUUAAGGCUAUCUCAAUAGCUGUCACCUAUGUACAGAACCCCAAGAAUGAGGGCAAGAUGGGGGCAAGAACUAAAAUGAAAGCUCUCAACAAUUUUUUUUUUUUUUUUUUACCAAGAGUGAGCAGGUGCAUAAUAGCUAGUUCCCUGCCUUACCUCCAGCACAGUGACCAAUAUCUUCCUCAGGGAGCCACUUGUGUCACUUUUCACAUCAGACUCUAGAUCCCUAUCAAAGACUGUGGAGGAAAAAAGAAAUC